GACGAACGCUGGCGGCGUGCUUAACACAUGCAAGUCGAACGGAAAGGCCCUGCUUUUGUGGGGUGCUCGAGUGGCGAACGGGUGAGUAACACGUGAGUAACCUGCCCUUGACUUUGGGAUAACUUCAGGAAACUGGGGCUAAUACCGGAUAGGAGCUCCUGCUGCAUGGUGGGGAUUGGAAAGUUUCGGCGGUUGGGGAUGGACUCGCGGCUUAUCAGCUUGUUGGUGGGGUAGUGGCUUACCAAGGCUUUGACGGGUAGCCGGCCUGAGAGGGUGACCGGCCACAUUGGGACUGAGAUACGGCCCAGACUCCUACGGGAGGCAGCAGUGGGGAAUAUUGCACAAUGGGCGGAAGCCUGAUGCAGCAACGCCGUGUGCGGGAUGACGGCCUUCGGGUUGUAAACCGCUUUCGCCUGUGACGAAGCGUGAGUGACGGUAAUGGGUAAAGAAGCACCGGCUAACUACGUG
rnacentral:rRNA from 1 species